rnacentral:rRNA from 1 species
UGAAUACGAGAUGCUACGGCGUCGAAGCAGUCUAUGUCAUACUUCCAAGAAAAGCUCGCACUGUCAUAAACAAAUAAUGCCUGUACCAUAACCGACACAGGUGGGUAGGUAGAGUAUACUAAGGGGCGCGAGAUAACUCUCUCUAAGGAACUCGGCAAAAUGACUCCGUAACUUCGGGAGAAGGAGUGCCUUAUUUAUAAGGUUGCAAUAACAAGAUCCAAGCAACUGUUUAUCAAAAACACAGGUCUCCGCUAAGUCGUAAGACGAUGUAUGGGGGCUGACGCCUGCCCAGUGCCAGAAGGUUAAAGAAGUUGGUUAGCAUUCGCGAAGCUGAUAACUGAAGCCCUGGUGAACGGCGGCCGUAACGAUAACGGUCCUAAGGUAGCGAAAUUCCUUGUCGGGUAAGUUCCGACCCGCACGAAAGGCGUAAUGAUUUGGAUACUGUCUCGGAGAGGGGCUCGGUGAAAUAGACUUGUCUGUGAAGAUGCGGACUACCUGCACCAGGACAGAAAGACCCUAUGAAGCUUUACUGUAACUUGAGAUUGAAAUUGGACUUUACUUGCGCAGUAUAGGUGGGAGGCGUUGAUAAUAUUCUUGCGGGAUUAUUUGAGCCAUCAGUGAGAUACCACUCUUGUAAUGUUAGAUUUCUAACUUUGUAUCAUUAUCUGGUCAAAGGACAGUUUCAGGCGGGCAGUUUGACUGGGGCGGUCGCCUCCUAAACGGUAACGGAGGCGCACAAAGGUUUCCUCUGAACGGGUAGAAAUCGUAUCUAGAGUGUAAAGGCAUAAGGAAGCUUGACUGUGAGACCUACAAGUCGAGCAGGGACGAAAGUCGGUCUUAGUUAUCUGACGGUGCUGAGUGGAAAGGCCGUCACUCAACGGAUAAAAGUUACUCUAAGGAUAACAGGCUGAUCUCCCCCAAGAGUUCACAUCGACGGGGAGGUUUGGCACCUCGAUGUCGGCUCAUCGCAUCCUGGGGCGGUAGUACGUCCCAAGGGUUGGGCUGUUCGCCCAUGAAAGCGGUACGCGAGCUGGGUUCAGAACGUCGUGAGACAGUUCGGUCCAUAUCCGGUGUAGGCGUUAGAAUAUUGAGAGGAGCCUUCUUUAGUACGAGAGGACCGAGAAGGACAUACCUCUGGUGUACCAGUUAUCGUGCCAACGGUAAACGCUGGGUAGCUAUGUAUGGAGUGGAUAACCGCUGAAAGCAUCUAAGUGGGAAGCCCACCUCAAGAUAAGUAUUCUGGUGUAAGGUCACGGGAAGACGACCCGUAAAUAGGCACGAGGUGGAAGUGCAGAGAUGUAUGAAGCCGAAGUGUACUAAUAGGCCGUCGGCUUGACC